UAUCACAAUUUUUGUCAUCAU
rnacentral:piRNA from 1 species